rnacentral:rRNA from 1 species
CCUACGGGGGGCUGCAGUGGGGAAUAUUGGACAAUGGGGGGAACCCUGAUCCAGCCAUGCCGCGUGUGUGAAGAAGGCCCUCGGGUUGUAAAGCACUUUCAGUGAGGAAGAACGCCUGGUGGUUAAUACCCAUCAGGAAAGACAUCACUCACAGAAGAAGCACCGGCUAACUCCGUGCCAGCAGCCGCGGUAAUACGGAGGGUGCGAGCGUUAAUCGGGAUUACUGGGCGUAAAGCGCGCGUAGGUGGCUUGAUAAGCCGGUUGUGAAAGCCCCGGGCUCAACCUGGGAACGGCAUCCGGAACUGUCAAGCUAGAGUGCAGGAGAGGAAGGUAGAAUUCCCGGUGUAGCGGUGAAAUGCGUAGAGAUCGGGAGGAAUACCAGUGGCGAAGGCGGCCUUCUGGACUGACACUGACACUGAGGUGCGAAAGCGUGGGUAGCAAACAGGAUUAGAUACCCUAGUAGUC